AAGCAGCCACCAUUUAAAGAGUGCGUAAUAGCUCACUGGUCGAGUGACUCUGCGCCGAAAAUGUAACGGGGCUAAACACACCACCGAAGCUAUGGCUUGGAUCGACUUCACUGCUUCUUUGAGGCGGUGUUUAUCACAAGAACAUUUUUGCCGAAGAGCCGGUAUUAAGGCUUGAGGCCAAAUGGUUCCCAGGGGAUAAACACAGGGCUUCGAGGCAGGAGUGAAGUCGAUCCAGGGGUAGGGGAGCGUUGU
rnacentral:rRNA from 1 species